CCCCAGGCCUUGUACACACCGCCCGUCACAUCAUGAAAGCCGCUUGUGCCCGAAGUCGCCCCUCAAAAGGUGCCGAAGGUAUGGGUGGUGAUUGGGAUG
rnacentral:rRNA from 1 species